GCCACCUUAGCUCAGUUGGUAGAGCAUCCGAUUUGUAAUCGGAUUGUCGUCAGUUCGAUUCUGACAGGUGGCU
rnacentral:tRNA from 1 species